rnacentral:rRNA from 1 species
CAGUACGAGAGGACCGGGACGGACGAACCUCUGGUGUGCCAGUUGUUCCGCCAGGAGCACGGCUGGUUGGCCACGUUCGGGAGGGAUAACCGCUGAAGGCAUCUAAGUGGGAAGCCCGCCUCGAGAUGAGGUCUCCUUCGGUCCGCCGGUUUCGGUUCCCGGGUUUUUCCCGGGGGCGGGGUCGGCGGGUCGUGAAGGCCCCCGGCUAGACGACCGGGUCGAUAGGCCGGAUGUGGAAGCGCCGACUGAAGAGGCGUGGAGCUGACCGGUACUAAUAGGCCGAACGCUUGACGAA